rnacentral:lncRNA from 1 species
CCUAGUAUUAUAGGCCUACCCAACAUUUUCUUAAUAAAUUCCAACUUUGCUUCAUAGUGACUCGUCCUGAAAAUCCAUUGUGUGUCUUGAGUGAAGAAGCAGGAAACAGCUGAAUGAGUUCUCAGGAGAUCAUCUCCAUGCUGCCAAGGGGAUCAUGAAGACUGGCUAUAUUCCUGAGAAUCUGACUUUCAGCAAAGCCUCCCAAAGGUCCCAAAUUUAGGACACUUGGAGUAAGAAAAUAUGCUUCCUCAGUUGUGCCUGUAAACAUAUGGAACACAUUGCAAAGUUCUGGAAAGCACACAGAACAUCUCUGUCAGAGUGACAGCUCCAGGCUAGGGAUCAAGUGUGAUGAUUGCUGAGAUUGGAUGUUGGAAAGAGU